GGGUUUGUAGCUCAAUUGGUAGAGCUCCGAGCUUUUAAUUCGUAGGUUAGGGGUUCAAGUCCCCUCGAACCCA
rnacentral:tRNA from 1 species